GUGAAUAAAAGAUACAGGAAGUCUACAGAAAGACACAGGAAGAGGAGGCCACACCUAAAUGCUGGCAAGGGAGCAGGCAACAGGGUCAGACGCCAAGCCUCAGACCCCUCCUGGAUACGAACCAUCCCCUGCCUCAUCAGAGCCUGGGAAGAUUUCCUACUCGUGAGGCUAACGAAUCGCUCAGAACACAACCAUCUCAUUAAGCAAUUAGCUCUGGGAGCGCCAAGGCAAGGAAGUGACCUCACUGGCCGCUCGACAAGACACCGCCCUGCCGCUGGGGAGGAAGGUAACAGGGUAAUCAUGACCAUGGUGGGAGGGACAUUGAUGGUGAUGUCAAGUGACGGAAAAGGUGACGGGUGUCAGAUCUCUGUGAUGGUGGAGGAGAUGCUGGGGCUGGGAACUGACUUGAUGGUGGUGCAGGGGAUGGUUGAUGGUGGUGGCAGAUCACAGCGGUGAUGGCAAGGUGACAUUGGUAGUGAUGACUGACAGGGUAGACCCUGUGGCUGGGCUCCCUCAGCCUCCAUCCCAUCCUCCUCAAUGACAGGGAAGUUGGAAAGUUAGCAACGACAUAGCCCUCCCUUGUGGCGUUUACAUGUGGAUUCACUGGGGCAGAAUCUGGAUGGCAGAAGCGAGGCGGAGUCCUUUCCAAGCUUUGGUUUUCUAAUUUCUAAUAAUAGUAGAGCACUGCUGGAGUUCCUGUUGUGGUGCAGCGGAAACGAAUCCGACUAGGAACCAUGAGGUUGCGGGUUCGAUCCCUGGCCUCACUCAGUGGGUUAAGGAUCCAGCGUCGCCAUAGCUGUGGUGUAAGUCACAGAUGCGGCUCGGUUCCCACAUUGCUGUGACUGUGGUGUAGGCUGGCAGCUACAGCUCCAAUUAGACCCCUAGCCUGGGAACCUCCAUAUGCCCCAGGUGAGGCCCUAAAAAAAAAAAAAAAAAAAGGCAAAAAAAAAAAUAAUAGAACAUUGCUGGCCACAUAAUAAGCACUAUCUACAAUUUGGUUGUUGUUACUUUUUUUUUUUUUCUUGCUCUCUUUUGGCUGUUUCUGCUGGCCAGCAAGAUUGCAGUGAACAGGCGGUUUUUCUGCCACAGUGUCCUGAUAUUGGGUCCAGCUUCCAG
rnacentral:lncRNA from 1 species